rnacentral:rRNA from 1 species
CCUACGGGAGGCAGCAGUGAGGAAUAUUGGACAAUGGGCGCAAGCCUGAUCCAGCCAUGCCGCGUGCAGGAAGACGCAUCUAUGGUGUGUAAACUGCUUUUGUACGGGAAGAAACACUCCCUCGUGAGGGAGCUUGACGGUACCGUAAGAAUAAGGAUCGGCUAACUCCGUGCCAGCAGCCGCGGUAAUACGGAGGAUCCAAGCGUUAUCCGGAAUCAUUGGGUUUAAAGGGUCCGUAGGCGGUUUAAUAAGUCAGUGGUGAAAGCCCAUCGCUCAACGAUGGAACGGCCAUUGAUACUGUUAGACUUGAAUUACUAGGAAGUAACUAGAAUAUGUAGUGUAGCGGUGAAAUGCUUAGAUAUUACAUGGAAUACCAAUUGCGAAGGCAGGUUACUACUAGUGGAUUGACGCUGAUGGACGAAAGCGUGGGGAGCGAACAGGAUUAGAUACCCUGGUAGUCCACGCCGUAAACGAUGGAUACUAGCUGUUGGGCACAAGUUCAGUGGCUAAGCGAAAGUGAUAAGUAUCCCACCUGGGGAGUACGUUCGCAAGAAUGAAACUCAAAGGAAUUGACGG